GACGAACGCUGGCGGCGUGCCUAAUACAUGCAAGUCGAACGCAUUUUCUUUCACCGUAGCUUGCUACACCGAAAGAAAAUGAGUGGCGAACGGGUGAGUAACACGUGGGUAACCUGCCCAUCAGCGGGGGAUAACACUUGGAAACAGGUGCUAAUACCGCAUAAUUCCAUUUACCGCAUGGUAAAUGGAUGAAAGGCGCUUUUGCGUCACUGAUGGAUGGACCCGCGGUGCAUUAGCUAGUUGGUGGGGUAACGGCCUACCAAGGCUGCGAUGCAUAGCCGACCUGAGAGGGUGAUCGGCCACACUGGGACUGAGACACGGCCCAGACUCCUACGGGAGGCAGCAGUAGGGAAUCUUCGGCAAUGGACGCAAGGCUGACCGAGCAACGCCGCGUGAGUGAAGAAGGGUUUCGGAUCGUAAAACUCUGUUGUUAGAGAAGAACAAGGAUGGGAGUGGAAAGUUCAUCCCUUGACGGUAGCUAACCAGAAAGCCACGGCUAACUACGUG
rnacentral:rRNA from 1 species